AGAGAGAAAAGGAGAAUUUGGUUCCUAAUUAAUUCUCACCAUCAAUGAUGGAGGUUUCAGGUGCCGUUCUAAGGAAUGUCACGUGCCCUUCCUUUUCUAUGCACGUGAGUUCCAGUGGUGGUGGUGGUUGUGUUAUGGUGAAGGUGAGGAUGAAAAAAAAGGCGGUGGUACAUUGUUGCUGCGGGUUCUGUGAUUCAGGGCAUGUGCAGUAUUACAGGGACGAGAAGAAGAAGGAGAAGGGAACCACUAUGUUGAGCGCAAAGAAAAGCUCAAGAUGCUGAAGAAACGUGUCCUUUUCGAUGAUCUUCAAGGAAACCUAACUUUGCUGCUUUGGUUUUACCCGCUAUAUGUCUUUAGCAUGGUUCUAAGCACCAUUGGUAACAUUCUCUUUCUAAUCAUCUUCUUAUGUCAGAAUCUUCAUUGUUGAUGAAGAUCUACACUUUUGUAAAUUAAGUACAUUGAUAAUGCUAGGGUUUGGUUGGUUACAUAGGAAGGUGCUUCAAGUCAUGUUUGAGUUUGUCUUAAAAAUUA